GAAUUUAAACCAAGUUUGAACCAGUGCUUCGGUUUGUCAGUACUGUGGGAAAACGUCGUUGCUGUUGUCAGUACUGUGAGAAAACCUCAUUGCCGAAGAGAUGUGCUGAAGAGAUCUGGAUGCUAAAACAAACUGAGGAGCUGUUUUUUUGUCGAUCAUGAGUGAGACUGGACGCUGAACAUGCUUGCGGCAGAAGGUUUACUUGUUCAGCUGCUGCAACCUGGACAGACACACCAGCUCUCACCUUACAAACCAAACAGGAUUCAAACUUCAACCAUUAAAUCACAGAGAGAAGAAACAGACACAAAGGCAUUUCCAGAAGGUGUUGCUGUCGUCAUCUCCUCCUGCAGAGUCAAGAACACGUAUGAAUCACAGAAACUGAGCAGUAAAUCUAAAUUAUUUUAUGACAUACUAUUCUUCUUUUUGAUGUUUUUAUGCCUUACUAUACUAUACAGACAUAUGACAUAGACAUGUGGCUUAAGACAAAAAAAAACCUAUCUUAACCCAUAAGAGCCCAGAGCCAUUUCUCCUUUUAGGAAAAUGAUAAAUUAUGGGGGAUGGAAAACAGACUAAAUGGAUCACGUGUAACACAUCUCUGAAGUUUUACUUUUUUUUCCCUUGACUUCAUGAGUUAAAAGUCACUCAUGAAGGACUUUCAACAACAUUUAAAGAGUUCCUAACACCUGUGCCACCAUGGAUUCUUAUGGGUUAGGUUAGAGUUUCAUUUUCAUAUUGUGCUAUUUCAAAAGUACUUGAAUCCAAUCUAUUACUGUGUACAUAGUCCUGUUUAUAAUGUAUCUUGUCUUGUUUAUAUGAUGCCUUUUAAUAUUUUUGCUACUGCAACACUGAAUUGCCCUG